CUAAUACAUGCAAGUCGAACGAACUCUGGGUAUUGAUUGGUGCUUGCAUCAUGAUUUACAUCCUUUAGUGAGUGGCGAACUGGUGAGUAACACGUGGGAAACCUGCCCAGAAGCGGGGGAUAACACCUGGAAACAGAUGCUAAUACCGCAUAACAACUUGGACCGCAUGGUCCGAGCUUGAAAGAUGGCUUCGGCUAUCACUUUUGGAUGGUCCCGCGGCGUAUUAGCUAGAUGGUGGGGUAACGGCUCACCAUGGCAAUGAUACGUAGCCGACCUGAGAGGGUAAUCGGCCACAUUGGGACUGAGACACGGCCCAAACUCCUACGGGAGGCAGCAGUAGGGAAUCUUCCACAAUGGACGAAAGUCUGAUGGAGCAACGCCGCGUGAGUGAAGAAGGGUUUCGGCUCGUAAAACUCUGUUGUUAAAGAAGAACAUAUCUGAGAGUAACUGUUCAGGUAUUGACGGUAUUUAACCAGAAAGCCACGGCUAACUACGUGCCAGCAGCCGCGGUAAUACGUAGGUGGCAAGCGUUGUCCGGAUUUAUUGGGCGUAAAGCGAGCGCAGGCGGUUUUUUAAGUCUGAUGUGAAAGCCUUCGGCUCAACCGAAGAAGUGCAUCGGAAACUGGGAAACUUGAGUGCAGAAGAGGACAGUGGAACUCCAUGUGUAGCGGUGAAAUGCGUAGAUAUAUGGAAGAACACCAGUGGCGAAGGCGGCUGUCUGGUCUGUAACUGACGCUGAGGCUCGAAAGUAUGGGUAGCAAACAGGAUUAGAUACCCUGGUAGUCCAUACCGUAAACGAUGAAUGCUAAGUGUUGGAGGGUUUCCGCCCUUCAGUGCUGCAGCUAACGCAUUAAGCAUUCCGCCUGGGGAGUACGGCCGCAAGGCUGAAACUCAAAGGAAUUGACGGGGGCCCGCACAAGCGGUGGAGCAUGUGGUUUAAUUCGAAGCUACGCGAAGAACCUUACCAGGUCUUGACAUACUAUGCAAAUCUAAGAGAUUAGACGUUCCCUUCGGGGACAUGGAUACAGGUGGUGCAUGGUUGUCGUCAGCUCGUGUCGUGAGAUGUUGGGUUAAGUCCCGCAACGAGCGCAACCCUUAUUAUCAGUUGCCAGCAUUAAGUUGGGCACUCUGGUGAGACUGCCGGUGACAAACCGGAGGAAGGUGGGGAUGACGUCAAAUCAUCAUGCCCCUUAUGACCUGGGCUACACACGUGCUACAAUGGAUGGUACAACGAGUUGCGAACUCGCGAGAGUAAGCUAAUCUCUUAAAGCCAUUCUCAGUUCGGAUUGUAGGCUGCAACUCGCCUACAUGAAGUCGGAAUCGCUAGUAAUCGCGGAUCAGCAUGCCGCGGUGAAUACGUUCCCGGGCCUUGUACACACCGCCCGUCACACCAUGAGAGUUUGUAACACCCAAAGUCGGUGGGGUAACCUUUUAGGAACCAGCCGCC
rnacentral:rRNA from 1 species